UAAGAGAGAUUCGUUUGAAAGUUCUUCGAGAAGAUCAUAUCAUCAAUUUUGUGUCAAAUAAAAUUUUACAGAAGAGAGUGUUAAAAGUGGAGAUGAAUAUUCUAAAUAUUGCACGUUUUCACCACGAUUCGUGGUAUCGAUUCAUGGUAUCGGUUUGGUCAAGGCCGUUACAGAGGGACACGAAAGGUCAUCAAGGUUGUAAGGUUGCGAAAUUCUCGACUCGCCUCCAAAUAUGUCAAUUAACGAUGCCACUUACGGAGGGGAUAUAUUGAAUAAUACAUUAGUUGUUGCAGAAACGAAUAUAGUAACGAUCUGUAUCCAAUUUAACUCAGAAUAUUGCAUUUUAAUCCGAUUCGUUACGGAAAGAAGAAGGGAGAAUGUAAACCAUCUAAUGUCAACCCGCGCGACCAUUUAUGGUUUUGGCUUUUGAUACGAUACGAAAAUGAAAUGGAAGAGAGGAAUUGAUCUUUCUCGAUUUCGAAUUUAAUUUCGAAGGGAAGAAAUUGAUUCGACGAUCGAGCAAACGAUGUUUUAAAAAUACGAUCCGAAACGGGUUCACUUGGUUAUUCAAUUCAAAUUAAAAAUUUCGUAUUCGCUCGAGUUCAAAAAGUUCAAAAGAAGGGAAGAUAAUUAAAUUUAUAAAUUCGAAGAUGCGGAUUUAAAUUUAAAACAACUUUUUCUAUAUAUAAAUACGCGUAUUACAAUACAUUCAAAUCCACGUUCAAGAGUUCAAAGCGGUUAAAUUUACCCGCGCCAUUACAAACGCUUUAUUUUCACAUCGUAAAUAUAUAUAUAUAUAUAUAUAUAGAAAUUGACUCGGCGUUUGUUCAACAUGUCGAGUUUGAAGUUAAAUGGAAACGAAGGGGAUUAGGAAUAGAGCCUUAGUAAUAAUGCUUUGCUCAAAGUCUGAACUAACUAGUUUUAAGACUGUCGCAUCAGGAACUUAGAGGCGCAAACACGGCUGAUCCGUGGUAUGAUAAGUGCCGCCAGUGAAAAUUACAAGUGACGGCUCAAGAAUCGUUGUUACGACACUUCUUUCUGUAGGAAGAAGAAGAAGAAGAAGAUUUCGUCGAAUACGUAUAUUUCUCUUCCCAUGAAUAUUGUUUUCCGGAUCACGAGCAGCCAGUCGACAGCAUAAUUUGGUUAUGCUUCCAUUCAGCCGGUUCCAUUAUCGACCAUUAGCCGGUUUCAACCUUUAUAUCGAGACGACUCUCGCGGCACCGUCUACUUCAAUCGUUCAAUUCCACCGGUAUAUACAGAUUUAAUAUAUUACUCAAGGCUCUCCUCAAUAAAAGAAGAGAUUACGCAUCUGGUGUCGAGUAGGUGUUAAAUAUGACGAGGAAAAAUGUUUCACAACGGCAUAAGUUUUCAUUCACUUUGACUCCACGCAGAAACCAUCAUCGUUCUUCGAGAAGAUUUUAAAAGAUUCGCUAAAUUAAC